CUCCACCGGAAAGUUGGUCCCCAUUGCCGAAACCAUCAAGGGAUUCAAAAUGAUCUUGAACAGUGAACUCGAUCACCUGCCCGAGGCCGCCUUCUACAUGGUCGGCCCGAUCGAAGAAGUUGUUGCCAAGGCAGAGAAACUUGCUGAAUCGCAAGCAUAAGUCGCCUGACGGAAAAGACCCAUCCCACAGCUGUAGAUUUGGAAGUCGCAAUGAAGAAAAAACAUGUCAAUCUUUCACCACAUGGUUACAUUCAGUCUAACGAGCGAGUUCCACCGUCUCUGCAGUUCUAAUAGCGUUGUGUAGAUGUUCCGGAUUCCUUUGUACAAAGUAAAGAUGGAAACCGUU